rnacentral:misc_RNA from 1 species
GUGAAUCAUCGAAUUUUUGAACGCAAAUUGCACUCUCCGGUUUUCCGGGAGAGUAUGCCUGUUUGAGGGUCAGCCUAAAAAAAAUCGACAUUGUUGCUGUUAUUUAAUGGUGACUUUCGUCGGAGAUUGGGUUAUCUUAAACCUUUUUUUUUUGGUUUUAGGCACUUAAAAUUUUUUUUUACGAUUUCAAUAAACUUUCUUAAGUUUUUUUUUUUUUUUCGU